rnacentral:lncRNA from 1 species
GCUAGACACAUUUGCUUCUCCUUUUAAAAAUGGAAAUGACAAGCUCUUGCCACUUUCAUAUGCAGCCGGACAUGGUGUAUUUGUGUUUCUGAGGUUAUUGUACAAGACGAAUUGGGUGAGUGAUUUGAAGUUAAAAUUAGCUCAUUUUUGUCAACUUAUUUAUUUACUGGUAUAUUUAGGCUCGAAAUUAAUUUCUUCCCUUUUUUUUGUCUCCCUACAACUUUGUAUAAAACAGGUUCAUAUGACAUUAAUCCUACAAAUAAACCAUUUGGAUUAGAAGUCAUUUCCUUCAUGAAAAUUACCUUUCUUGACAUAGUAAUCAUUACUUUUUAUGAUGUCUGUAAAUCUAGAUUAAAAAUUCUCUAGGCUGGAAAUAAGAUUUAAUUUUAGAGCUAUUUUGUCCUUGAUUAUUGACACAGAAUCUUGUGGUGUUGAGCAAGGCAGAGGCUGUGUGCUGCAAUCUCUGUUGAGGAGGGAAACUCCCAGUGCUCUGCAUAGUGAACUGAUCACAUAGAAGUUUCUUUAGCAUGGGAAUGUGCUUCCAUGUUUCCCUGAAGAGCAAAGUACAGCGGUAGAAUGGCAGAUCCGUCCAGAAGUCAGUCCAAAAAGAUAGAUACCAUCAUGCUGACUGAUUCUUUUUCACAAUGCUGCUGUGAUGCCUCAGACACAAGCCCAAGCAUCUACCAAGCUGCUUCUUCCCUCCAAGUGACAAAAAGAAAAGAAAAGAAAAUGACAGGUACCAUCAGCCCACUUUUUACCCUGAUCUAUGCGGUCCUUAGCAACCAGAGUAUCUACACUGAGGCACGUUGCUGUGGUUGUCAUAACUUUGAAGAAAACAAAUCUUCAAAGAUCUUUUUUAUCUUUUCCAGGAAGAUAUGUCAAUCCUUUGAUGGUAAAAAGCAUUAAAACUCAAAAUUGAGAGGCAAAAUAUAUCAUAUCCCACUAAAAACUCCUUGAGCCAGAUAACUGCCAGCAUGUACAGUUAGAAGGGUAAUAAUAGCUAGUGACUGCUGUGUGGAAUGUGUUAAGACUUCUAAAUAUAUUAUUUCAUUUAAUUCUUGCAACUAUUUAUAGUAAAAAAUAAGAGGACUGAUGUUAAACAUGUUAGUUUUGCCUGCACUAAAAGCUUAAAAGAAUUAAUAAUGAGAUACGGAACUAUCAUACACAAAGCAUUCAGAAAAGCAUUUGUAAAUGAAUAUCUUAAAGGUAUCCUUCAACUGACACUUGUUCUGAUAUGGCUACUUAGUUGUCUCUAAAGCAAAAAGUACAUGUCGAGAGGUACUAAGUAAGAUAAGAGUUCUCCUUCCCAGUUCUUGCAGGCCUGUGUACUUAAUUUGACAAACACAUUGUUCCAAAAGUAAGCCAUGGGAGCUGGGCAUCAUGGCAUACACCUGUAGUCCCAGCUACUCAGGAGGCUGAAGUGGGAUGAUCCCUUGAGCCCAGGAGUUCGAGGCUGCAGUGAGCCAUGAUCAUGCCUCUGCACUCCAGCCUGAGUGACAGAGCAAGACCCUGUCUCUAAAACAAAACAAAAGUAAGCCAUGGGAGGCAGAUGUAGUAGAAUGGGAAAAAUGGAAAUACUAGCUUUGAAGCCUACACUGACCUUCUACUCAUGAGUCCCAGCCAGCAGCUGGGCAUUUGGGUGCAGGAGAGAGGGACAAGAAUACUUCCCCCAGUAAGAGCAAAAUGGAAUGCUACAAUCAUAGCCCAGUGGGCAGAGAUGGAAGGCAGAGCUUCAGGCACCCAGACAGUAUAUGUGGGUGUACGGCCUUUCAGAAUGUGGCUUAUGGCAGUCGGGUGUUAAAGGCUCACCACAGGCACAGCAGGUCCAACCUAGGGAAGGCCAAGGCUGUCAAGGUAUUCCCUGCCCUAAAAAGACUUCGCUCAAUGUCUCUCUGAACGUAGGCAUCUAAACUGGUAAAGUUCAGACUCCUUAGUGCUUGACACUAUGGUACUCUUGGGAUCUUGCUAAAAUGGUGUUGUGAGUUGAAUAGUGUGCCCCCAAAUAUCAUGUCUACCUGGAACCUUAGAAUGUAACCUUAUUUGGAAAACGGGUUUUUGCAGAAGUAAUUAGUUAAGAUGAAGUCAUCUUGGAUUAGGGUGGGCCCUACAUCCGAUUUCACCGGCGUCCUUAGAAAAAGAAGAAAGGACACACCAAGGUACACAGAUGUACAGGGAGGAAGGCCCUGUGAAGACAAAGGUGAAGACUGAAGUGAUGUAGCUAUGAGCCAAGGAGUGCCAAGGGUUGUCGGGAGCCACCAGAAGCUGUUGGAGGAGACCAGGGUGGAUUCCUCUCUAGAGCCGUCAGAGGAAGCAUGGCCCUGCCCAACGCCUUGAUACCAGGCUUUCAGCCUUCCAGCACCAUAAGAGAAUACGUUUCUGUUAUUUUCAGCCACUUUGUUAAAACAGCCCUAGGGAACUAAUACAACUGGUGAAAUUAAAGAACUCUCAGGAUCUCACUCUAGAGCUUACUUCUCACAGCUCCACAUCACAGCCAAAUAGCCUUUUUAACGAUCCAGAUUCCAUAUCUUGUCAAUCAGUUAAAAAAUAAUAAUAAUUAAAAAAAGGUCCAGAAAGUGCUCAGCACUUUCCCAGGGGUACUAUCCCACCACCUGGAGUGCCCCAUCUCUACCCACCCACCACUACAUGUCCAGAGCUCCCUCCUUCUGAGCCCGGUGCAGAAGGCAUCCCACAGAACACUACCUGAUCCCCCAAAUCAGACAUAAUCUUACUGUCUUCAGAAAUCUCGCAGCACUUUCUUUGUAUUUCACAUUGCCC